AACGAACGCUGGCGGCGCGUCUUAAGCAUGCAAGUCGAACGGCAAGAGAGGAGCUUGCUUCUCUCCUAGAGUGGCGGACUGGUGAGGAACACGUGGGUAAUCUACCCUUAAGAUGGGGAUAGCUGCUAGAAAUAGCAGGUAAUACCGAAUACACUCGGCAUAUCACAAGGGGUGUUGAGGAAAGGAAGCUACGGCUUCGCUUGAGGAUGAGCUUGCGUCCCAUUAGCUAGUUGGUGAGGUAAAGGCCCACCAAGGCGACGAUGGGUAUCCGGCCUGAGAGGGUGAACGGACACAUUGGGACUGAGAUACGGCCCAAACUCCUACGGGAGGCAGCAGCUAAGAAUAUUCCGCAAUGGACGGAAGUCUGACGGAGCGACGCCGCGUGGAUGAAGAAGGCUGAAAAGUUGUAAAAUCCUUUUGUUGAUGAAGAAUAAGGGUGAGAGGGAAUGCUCAUCUGAUGACGGUAAUCGACGAAUAAGCCCCGGCUAAUUACGUG
rnacentral:rRNA from 1 species